CAGGGAGACAACAAAAUGUUUAAUAUUAUUUUGUCACCUUAGGUCGAUCGGUAUCUCACAUUCUUAUUUUUUAAGGAUUUUAUUUCCUAAGUUUUUCUAGGUCACACCCAUUAUUUUCCCUGGGCCAUUAGCUCAGGUGGUUAGAGCGCACCCCUGAUAAGGGUGAGGUCCCUGGUUCAAGUCCAGGAUGGCCCAUAUCUCUAUGUUGGGGGUAUAGCUCAGUUGGUAGAGCGCCUGCUUUGCAAGCAGGAUGUCAGCGGUUCGAGUCCGCUUACCUCCACUGAUUACCACCUCUUCCAUAAUUUUUAUUGAGGGAAACUUUUGAUUUGUGGUCGAAUUCUGAACGAAUCUAGCUUCCUAAUGAAUUCAUUAAGAUGCUGGUCUCAUUGAAUUAAUUUCAUUGUUUUCAGAGAACCUUGACGACUGCAUAGAUUAUUUUUUAAAGACAAUAAGCAUCUUUAAUGAUGCAGAUUUAUUAUUUGUGCUAAUGCAUUAAUAACAACUCUAUUAAGCUGAUGCUUCAAUUUUUGAAGUUAUU
rnacentral:tRNA from 1 species